GGCUGUGUCACAUCGAGCCAGC
rnacentral:miRNA from 12 species